rnacentral:rRNA from 1 species
UACGGAGGGUGCGAGCGUUGUCCGGAAUCACUGGGCGUAAAGGGCGCGUAGGCGGCGCGGAUAGUCGGCGGUGAAAGCCCGGAGCUCAACUCCGGGUCGGCCGUCGAUACUUCCGGGCUUGAGCACUGUAGAGGCAGAUGGAAUUCCGGGUGUAGCGGUGGAAUGCGUAGAAAUCCGGAAGAACACCGGUGGCGAAGGCGGUCUGCUGG